UGCGAACGGCUCAUUACAACAGAUAUACUUUACUUGUUCUAUUCCUUUAAACGGAUAACUGCGGUAAUUCUGGAGCCAAUACGUGCUAAAAGACGCAUUCAGCAAUGAGUGUGUUGCAUUUAUCGGAGCAAAACCCUUCCUGGUUUUAUGCUAACUCUGGAUAACACUGCUUAUCGCAUGACCUUGUGUCGGCGAAGUUACAUUCAAGUAUCUGCCUUAUCAACUUUCGAUGGUAGUGUAUUGGACUGCCAUGGUGUUGACGGGUAACGGAGAAUCAGGGUUCGACUCCGGAGAGGGAGCCUUAGAAACGGCUACCAUGUCUAAGGACAGCAGCAGGCGCGCAACUUAUCCACUGUUCAUUGAACGAGAUAGUGACGAGAAAUAACAAGUUCGUUCUCUAUGAGGUCGAGCAUUGGAAUGGAUGAAAUCUAAACAGUUUCAUGAGUACCCACGAGAGGGCAAGUCUGGUGCCAGCAGCCGCGGUAAUUCCAGCU
rnacentral:rRNA from 1 species